rnacentral:lncRNA from 1 species
UCCAGAUCUUCUUGUUGAUGAUCUCCACCAGCCCUCCCUUCUCGGUCACCAGUUUGUAGAGCAUGUAGAGAUCCAGGAUCUGCUUCGCCAUGAUGGGGAUCCUGUUGAUGGGGGUUCCCCUCUUCUGCAUGAAGAUGAAGAGGUCAUCCAGGAACUCUUUCCGUUCAGGGUCACUAUCCAGUUCAUAAAGCUUGGCAAAGUCUCGUGAAAUUUCUCUUCCUCGGCAUCCAUCACCUUCAUCACUCCAGGUCACAUUGCCGUUCUGUUUGAGCUGCUCAUCCAAUCUCCAGUUCUGGCGUCCAGACGGGGAGCCGGCAUAUGGCUGCUUAGUAGUGUCCUUACCCUGUUCUUCUUUGCCCUGCUGUCCCCUCUGGUGCCCUGAGGCCGGAAGAGGAUUCGAGGUAGAGGCCACUCUUUGGUUGUGGUGGGCAACUUUGGGAGCGUGAAAAUAUUUCAGAGCGGAGCAGGAUUCUUUUCCAGUCACAUCAGCAGCAUCCUCCAGAUCUCCUCCUUCCAACCCCGCUUCCUCUUCCUCCUCAUCUUCCUCCUCUUCCUCGUCCUCUUCUUCUUCUUCUUCUGGCUCUG